UUUGGUUAAGUUAGAAAGGGCGCACGGUGGAUGCCUUGACACUAGGAGUCGAUGAAGGACGGGACUAACGCCGAUAUGCUUCGGGGAGCUGUAAGUAAGCUUUGAUCCGAAGAUUUCCGAAUGGGGAAACCCACCAUACGUAAUGGUAUGGUAUCCUUAUCUGAAUACAUAGGGUAAGGAAGACAGACCCAGGGAACUGAAACAUCUAAGUACCUGGAGGAAGAGAAAGCAAAUGCGAUUUCCUGAGUAGCGGCGAGCGAAACGGAACAUAGCCCAAACCAAGAGGCUUGCCUCUUGGGGUUGUAGGACAUUCUAUACGGAGUUACAAAGGAACGAGGUAGACGAAGCGACCUGGAAAGGUCCGUCGUAGAGGGUAACAACCCCGUAGUCGAAACUUCGUUCUCUCUUGAAUGUAUCCUGAGUACGGCGGAACACGUGAAAUUCCGUCGGAAUCUGGGAGGACCAUCUCCCAAGGCUAAAUACUCCCUAGUGAUCGAUAGUGAACCAGUACCGUGAGGGAAAGGUGAAAAGCACCCCGGAAGGGGAGUGAAAGAGAUCCUGAAACCGUGUGCCUACAAAUAGUCAGAGCCCGUUAACGGGUGAUGGCGUGCCUUUUGUAGAAUGAACCGGCGAGUUACGAUCCCGUGCGAGGUUAAGCUGAAGAGGCGGAGCCGCAGCGAAAGCGAGUCUGAAUAGGGCGUUUAGUACGUGGUCGUAGACCCGAAACCAGGUGAUCUACCCAUGUCCAGGGUGAAGUUCAGGUAACACUGAAUGGAGGCCCGAACCCACGCACGUUGAAAAGUGCGGGGAUGAGGUGUGGGUAGCGGAGAAAUUCCAAUCGAACCUGGAGAUAGCUGGUUCUCCCCGAAAUAGCUUUAGGGCUAGCCUUAAGUGUAAGAGUCUUGGAGGUAGAGCACUGAUUGGACUAGGGGUCCUCAUCGGAUUACCGAAUUCAGUCAAACUCCGAAUGCCAAUGACUUAUCCUUAGGAGUCAGACUGCGAGUGAUAAGAUCCGUAGUCAAAAGGGAAACAGCCCAGACCGCCAGCUAAGGUCCCAAAGUGUGUAUUAAGUGGAAAAGGAUGUGGAGUUGCUUAGACAACUAGGAUGUUGGCUUAGAAGCAGCCACCAUUUAAAGAGUGCGUAAUAGCUCACUAGUCGAGUGACUCUGCGCCGAAAAUGUACCGGGGCUAAAUACACCACCGAAGCUGCGGAUUGAUACCGAAUGGUAUCAGUGGUAGGGGAGCGUUCUAAGGACAGUGAAGUCAGACCGGAAGGACUGGUGGAGUGCUUAGAAGUGAGAAUGCCGGUAUGAGUAGCGAAAGACGGGUGAGAAUCCCGUCCACCGAAUGCCUAAGGUUUCCUGAGGAAGGCUCGUCCGCUCAGGGUUAGUCAGGACCUAAGCCGAGGCCGACAGGCGUAGGCGAUGGACAACAGGUUGAUAUUCCUGUACCACCUCUUUAUCGUUUGAGCAAUGGAGGGACGCAGAAGGAUAGAAGAAGCGUGCGAUUGGUUGUGCACGUCCAAGCAGUUAGGCUGAUAAGUAGGCAAAUCCGCUUAUCGUAAAGGCUGAGCUGUGAUGGGGAAGCUCCUUAUGGAGCGAAGUCUUUGAUUCCCCGCUGCCAAGAAAAGCUUCUAGUGAGAUAAAAGGUGCCUGUACCGCAAACCGACACAGGUAGGCGAGGAGAGAAUCCUAAGGUGUGCGAGAGAACUCUGGUUAAGGAACUCGGCAAAAUGACCCCGUAACUUCGGGAGAAGGGGUGCUUUCUUAACGGAAAGCCGCAGUGAAUAGGCCCAAGCGACUGUUUAGCAAAAACACAGCUCUCUGCGAAGCCGUAAGGCGAAGUAUAGGGGGUGACACCUGCCCGGUGCUGGAAGGUUAAGGAGAGGGGUUAGCGUAAGCGAAGCUCUGAACUGAAGCCCCAGUAAACGGCGGCCGUAACUAUAACGGUCCUAAGGUAGCGAAAUUCCUUGUCGGGUAAGUUCCGACCCGCACGAAAGGUGUAACGAUUUGGGCACUGUCUCAACCAGAGACUCGGUGAAAUUAUAGUACCUGUGAAGAUGCAGGUUACCCGCGACAGGACGGAAAGACCCCGUGGAGCUUUACUGUAGCCUGAUAUUGAAUUUUGGUACAGUUUGUACAGGAUAGGCGGGAGCCUUUGAAACCGGAGCGCUAGCUUCGGUGGAGGCGCUGGUGGGAUACCGCCCUGACUGUAUUGAAAUUCUAACCUACGGGUCUUAUCGACCCGGGAGACAGUGUCAGGUGGGCAGUUUGACUGGGGCGGUCGCCUCCUAAAGUGUAACGGAGGCGCCCAAAGGUUCCCUCAGAAUGGUUGGAAAUCAUUCGUAGAGUGCAAAGGCAUAAGGGAGCUUGACUGCGAGACCUACAAGUCGAGCAGGGACGAAAGUCGGGCUUAGUGAUCCGGUGGUUCCGCAUGGAAGGGCCAUCGCUCAACGGAUAAAAGCUACCCCGGGGAUAACAGGCUUAUCUCCCCCAAGAGUCCACAUCGACGGGGAGGUUUGGCACCUCGAUGUCGGCUCAUCGCAUCCUGGGGCUGUAGUCGGUCCCAAGGGUUGGGCUGUUCGCCCAUUAAAGCGGUACGCGAGCUGGGUUCAGAACGUCGUGAGACAGUUCGGUCCCUAUCCGUCGUGGGCGUAGGAAAUUUGAGAGGAGCUGUCCUUAGUACGAGAGGACCGGGAUGGACGCACCGCUGGUGUACCAGUUGUUCUGCCAAGGGCAUAGCUGGGUAGCUAUGUGCGGAAGGGAUAAGUGCUGAAAGCAUCUAAGCAUGAAGCCCCCCUCAAGAUGAGAUUUCCCAUAGCGUAAGCUAGUAAGAUCCCUGAAAGAUGAUCAGGUUGAUAGGUUCGAGGUGGAAGCAUGGUGACAUGUGGAGCUGACGAAUACUAAUAGAUCGAGGACUUAACCAUAUAA
rnacentral:rRNA from 1 species